AUUGAACGCUGGCGGCAGGCCUAACACAUGCAAGUCGAGCGGCAGCACGGGUACUUGUACCUGGUGGCGAGCGGCGGACGGGUGAGUAAUGCCUAGGAAUCUGCCUGGUAGUGGGGGAUAACGCUCGGAAACGGACGCUAAUACCGCAUACGUCCUACGGGAGAAAGCAGGGGACCUUCGGGCCUUGUGCUAUCAGAUGAGCCUAGGUCGGAUUAGCUAGUUGGUGAGGUAAUGGCUCACCAAGGCGACGAUCCGUAACUGGUCUGAGAGGAUGAUCAGUCACACUGGAACUGAGACACGGUCCAGACUCCUACGGGAGGCAGCAGCGGGGAAUAUUGGACAAUGGGCGAAAGCCUGAUCCAGCCAUGCCGCGUGUGUGAAGAAGGUCUUCGGAUUGUAAAGCACUUUAAGUUGGGAGGAAGGGCAGUUACCUAAUACGUAUCUGUUUGACGUACCG
rnacentral:rRNA from 1 species